CACAUUUGAUGUUUUAAAAGGUUUUGAAAUUGUUUUCCAAACGUGAAGCACUAACAGGAUAUAAAAACCAGCUUGGUUGGUACUUACUUAGGAGGAUAACUGCUAUCCCAAUAACGGCAAAUAAACAAGUAACAUGUCAUACCUUCUGUUCAUAAUUGUGAAGCCCACAGUGAUUUUACCACCUGUGACAUCAGUCCGUGAUUGUUUGUGAUGAUUUAUGGAGAUACGAGAUGUGUUUUUAAAUAUAAAAGCUCAUUCAGUAAGUAUUUAUGAAUUAAGGAAUUCUCCACAACUCACAACGCCUUCCUGUGUCUCAGUGUUCUUCAUCCUAACACCGUGCUAAAAGCACCUCCACAAAGACUCGUGUAGAAGAGAAUGCUAAUUCUGAAUGACCUGAUGUUAAGAAACAGGAAACGCUGCUUCUUCUGCAAGUUGCUAAAAGACAUAAAGGUGCAUAGGACAGUGCAUUGCUGGAGACAGUUUGCAAGGAGAUGCAAUUAAAUGAAGAUUUAUCCUGAUAACACUGGAAACAACCUUUUCCCCCAGUACAUCACAUCAUCACUUGGAAGACUGAAUGGUGACCAUCACAGCUAAUGGGAUGAAAUCAUAGGCAGCGCACUACCAAAGGAGGGGUUGGAACCUUCUUUUCAAAAGGAUUUCUGUUCCAGUGAGCAGAAGGAAAGCAGCUUCUCUCCAUUUCCUGAGCUGUAAACUUACAAAGUGUGGUUUGCUUUGAUUUUGCAUCCCACGGUUGGAUUAUACUCUGUCUAAUAAAGCACAUGUGAGAUGUGUUCAGUAAUGUGAGAACUCUGGAGCAUAUGUAGCAUCACUCUAGUGUGGCAGUUCUCUCAUCCAGGGGAAUGGGGGUGAUAAACUGGGGCUGUCUGCUCCUCCUAGCCGUCAGUUUUUAUAAUACCAGUAGGAAUCUCAUUUUAGAAAGAGCUUCAUCUUUUCAUCCUUCCUUUUUUUUUUUUUUUUUUUUUUUUUGGUUUUUUGUUUUUUAAUUUUCCUAACUGAAUAACAAAAAGGGAGAAACACAACUG
ensembl:lncRNA